GGGGGAUCUUCCGCAAUGGGCGCAAGCCUGACGGAGCAACGCCGCGUGAGUGAAGAAGGUCUUCGGAUCGUAAAGCUCUGUUGACGGGGACGAACGUGCGAGAGGUGAAUAAACUCUUGCAAUGACGGUACCUGUCGAGGAAGCCACGGCUAACUACGUGCCAGCAGCCGCGGUAAUACGUAGGUGGCGAGCGUUGUCCGGAAUCAUUGGGCGUAAAGGGAGCGCAGGCGGGCAUGUAGGUCUUUCUUAAAAGUUCGGGGCUCAACCCCGUGAUGGGAAAGAAACUAUAUGUCUUGAGUACAGGAGAGGAAAGCGGAAUUCCCAGUGUAGCGGUGAAAUGCGUAGAUAUUGGGAGGAACACCAGUGGCGAAGGCGGCUUUCUGGACUGCAACUGACGCUGAGGCUCGAAAGCCAGGGGAGCGAACGGGAUUAGAUACCCCGGUAGUCCUGGCCGUAAACGAUGGAUACUAGGUGUGGGAGGUAUCGACCCCUACCGUGCCGGAGUUAACGCAAUAAGUAUCCCGCCUGGGGAGUACGGUCGCAAGACUG
rnacentral:rRNA from 1 species